rnacentral:lncRNA from 1 species
CCUUCUCAACAUAGGUGGACAAUGUCUCAACUCUUAAAUCAGAAUCUGCUCAUCAAAUAAUAGUCUUAAAUGUAAUUCUUUUGCAAUUUAGGAACUCGUGCUAUAAACUACUAUCUACGUAAGUUUCUAAAACUUACAAAAUUAAUAUAUUUCAUAAUUUCUAUAGAAACGGGUGCCGUUGAGAGGUCGCCGUUGAGAGGUCUUCUUGCAUUCUAUUUUUGCUUCCCCAUUUUAUGUGCCUUUAAAUGCUAAAAUCAUGGUUUACUAAUCGAAGUUGUUGGUUUAGCAUUCAGGGUCUUCCUUUAGAUUCUAGCAGUGUUUUAAAUUGUGGUUGUAGUCGCGAUUGUGGUUGCGGUUAAUGCGAUUGUGGUCAUUGCCGCCGUUCCGAUGCAGAUUGCGGCCAUUGCGAUGUUAAUUAUUUUGUGACUAAAAACAUAUUUUCGACAUCAAUGCAGUCUGAUAUGGCCCCGAUUCUGUUGCGUUGCAGCUUCAUGUGAUCCAAAUGCGGUCGAUGCGGUUAUGUUGUAGCCUAUUGCAGUCGCUUCACUGUGAUUCGGUAUCACACUGCAAUUGUGGUGUGAUGCGGUGGUCACUACAACAAUUUGAAACAUUCGAUUAGAUAUAUUGUUAAGAUCCCAACUCAUGGCACUUAACAUUGCUAUCCCUCAAACACCUCUAAUCCUCAAGGAAUGUAUCUUUUGGUGUAGUGGCAAGCUUUUGACCCUGAAUGUGGCAUCAGAGUGAGGCUAUGGAUUCAAAUCCAUCGAGGAACGCUAAUGAUGAGAUUGUUGGCUUAAUAUCCAACGUCUCCCUAUUAAUUCGAAAUGGGCUUAACAUCUCAACCUAAUGUGCUUAACAUCAUAGUCCCUCAAACACCUCUAAGUUUUAAGGAAAUAAAGUUGUACCGUACCUCAUAGCUAUAGUUUUUUGCCCAGUGGUAAAGUGUUUGAUCUUGAAUGAUUUAACUCAAAAUCACUUCGAUUCCAGCAUAAGUCUCGCUCGGGAAUAAUAUUUUAAACUGCGGUUGUGAUCGUAAUUACAAUUACACUAUGUUAAAUGUAAUUUAGGAAAAUUGUGGGAAAUUAAAGCUAAUGUAGACUUAAUUACAAUUUUAAUGUUGUUGGAUAGACAUCCAAAAUAAUAAUAUUAGGG